rnacentral:rRNA from 1 species
AACGAACGCUGGCGGCAUGCCUAACACAUGCAAGUCGAACGCGUGUAGCGAUACACGAGUGGCGGACGGGUGAGUAACACGUGGGUGACCUGCCCUCAGCUCUGGGAUAAGCCUGGGAAACCGGGUCUAAUACCGGAUAUGACUCCAUGACGCAUGUUGUGGGGUGGAAAGCCUUGUGCGGCUGAGGAUGGGCCCGCGGCCUAUCAGCUUGUUGGUGGGGUGAUGGCCUACCAAGGCGACGACGGGUAGCCGGCCUGAGAGGGCGACCGGCCACACUGGGACUGAGACACGGCCCAGACUCCUACGGGAGGCAGCAGUGGGGAAUCUUGCGCAAUGGGCGAAAGCCUGACGCAGCGACGCCGCGUGAGGGAUGACGGCCUCCGGGUU